GAUUGCACCUCUGUCACAUGUUAAAAUUAGAACGAUACAGAGAAGAUUAGCAUGGUCCCUGCACA
rnacentral:snRNA from 1 species